rnacentral:pre_miRNA from 1 species
GAGCUGGGAUGUUGACCUAGCCUCUCCUUGGCUUUGUCUGUAUCUUACGAUGUUUCAGACAUAGCCUGAUAGAGGUUACGUUUUGUCCCGUUU